UAAUACGGGGGGGGGCCAGCGUUGUUCGGAAUUACUGGGCGUAAAGGGCGCGUAGGCGGCCUUCUAAGUCGGACGUGAAAUCCCUCGGCUCAACCGGGGAACUGCGUCCGAUACUGGAGGGCUUGAAUCCGGGAGAGGGAUGCGGAAUUCCAGGUGUAGCGGUGAAAUGCGUAGAUAUCUGGAGGAACACCGGUGGCGAAGGCGGCAUCCUGGACCGGCAUUGACGCUGAGGCGCGAAAGCCAGGGGAGCAAACGGG
rnacentral:rRNA from 1 species